rnacentral:misc_RNA from 1 species
UGACGCAGUCAAAUUGGGCAGG